CGUAGGGGGCAAGCGUUGUCCGGAAUUAUUGGGCGUAAAGAGCGUGUAGGCGGUCCGGUAAGUCCGCUGUGAAAGUCCAGGGCUCAACCCUGGAAUGCCGGUGGAUACUGCCGGGCUAGAGUCCGGAAGAGGCGAGUGGAAUUCCUGGUGUAGCGGUGAAAUGCGCAGAUAUCAGGAGGAACACCGAUGGCGAAGGCAGCUAGCUGGGACGGUACUGACGCUGAGACGCGAAAGCGUGGGGAACAAACAGG
rnacentral:rRNA from 1 species